ensembl:lncRNA uncharacterized LOC109307233
GGGUGACACGGGGUCUGGCGGAAACGAAAGAGAAAGGGAGCGAGCAGAGCGGGGCGAGGGCCUGGCUGGGGUCUCUCGCUGUCUGCGCUGCAGAGUUGCCUGUCGCCCUUCUCUACGGGCCACAUCUAUACACAUAGAUCUGUUAGAGCUACAGGUUUUAUUAGAAACAUUUAGUAAUGGCAGAUCACCUUUGUCCACAAUUGUUUCUAACACCAUGACCCAGGAGGCUGUGGCCCAGGUGGCACUGAAGGCUGCACUGCUGCAGGUGCUGGGACAGCACCCUGUUGACUUGCCCCUGGGUGAUGUGGCUGGGGCCUUCCACCACCUGUAUGGCACCCAGCUGCAGUUCAGCUCCACUGAGGCUGGAGAACCCCUGCUGGGGACCAGAGCCACCUCCCCCAUGGAGAGUGAUGGGACCCCCAGCAACUCGGACAACAAGGAGGAGAAGAACAAGGGCACAGCCUUCCACCAGGCCGGCAUGCUCCUUGGCCAGGUCCUGCAGGGCUUCCCCUGUGGCAUGACCUUGCGCAGGUUGCACCACAUCCUACAGGCAGAGGGGAUCCUGCAGGACCUGCCCAGACACUGGGACUCCUUGGAGUUUGUCUACCUUCUAUUCCAUGUGCCGGGAAUCAAGCUGUGGGUACCCAAAAAUGGCACGGAGGUUGUGGCCUACCGGGCAGUGCCAGACCCUUCAGCAGUCCAGAGGCUGGUGCAUCUGAUCCUGGGAUAUUACGGGACGCCUGGGGGCUGCUGGACAGUGCCGGAGCUGGAGGGCUUCAUGGCGCAGACAUACGGGCUGGAUUUGGAGGGCUACAGCCAAGAGCAUGGCUACAGGGGGACUGUGGACUUCCUGCGCUCCAUGCCUGACCUCGCCCUGCAUACCCCACUCUGGGGGGGACCCUACAUCCUCCACCUCUAUGCAGGACCUACCUUGCCCCCCACACACAUGAUUCCACCACCCCUCAACACUGAGCCCCUGUGUGAGAUCCUGGCACCUUCAGACCCUCAGCCCUUUGAACCCCCUGUAUCAGCACAGCGCCUGGAGACCCUCUUCCUGAAGCACCUAGACCAAGGAGCAUUGGACAGGGUGCUGAGCCUGCUGCGGGAUGGGCUCAUGGAGCACCCAGGUGGCCUGGAACUGGGGGUGCUGAAGGAGGCCGUGAGGAGAGGCCUUGGUGUCGACCUUGAGGACCUGAGCUGGGACCUGGGCUACCGGGGCACCCUGGAGCUGCUAAGCAAUCUGCCAGGUGUUUGGGUCUGGGGGCCUGAGAAGGGGGACCACUGCAUCCUCCACAUGGAGCGAGGCCUGGAUGAGGUGCUAGCACUGCUGGCAGGAGGCCUGGUGGGGGCUCCAGCAGGUGCAGAGCUGUGUGAGCUGCAGGAGGCUGUGGGAAUGGAGCUUGGUGUCGACCUGGAGCAGCUGGGCCGGGACCUGGGCUAUGCCAGUGCCAAGGACUUCCUCACCCACGUGCCUGGCCUCCAGCUCCAGGCCCCUGAGAGGGGCAGCCACUGCAUAGUGCAACUGCAGAGAGGAGUCACCAUGGAUGUGCCCGUACCUCCUUGGGCCAAGCAUGCCCCCUGUGUUACCCAGCCUGCCUGCCUGGAUCCUGUGGAGACCACCCAGCUGGCAAAACCAAAGCCAGGCUUGGACCAGUUCUCAGCGGCCAUCCUGGAAUGUCUCCAUGGCUACAGCAGUGGCCUGCGAAUGGAGACACUGAAGAAGAUGCUAUGCCAAAGACAGGCCAUGGACCUGGAGGAUUUUGUGAAAUAUGGCGGGUAUGGGAACACUGUGGAGCUGCUGCAGCAAGUGCCUGAGGUCCAGCUCAUCUUCCCUGAGAGAGGGGAAAAGUGCCUGGUCAGACUGAAAACAGACCUGGAUAUGUUGGAGGGGCUGAUCCAAGAUAUUCUGACACCCUUUCCCAGUGGUCUGCGGCUCAAGAAGCUGAAGGAGAUGCUGGUGAAGAAGCAUGGGACUGACCUGGAGUCCUGGAGUCAAGGCGCAGGCUACAGGGACGUGAUCUCCUGUCUGAAGAACAUGCCAGGGCUCAGACUCCAUGGCUCCGGGAGAAGCAACAACUGCCUGGUCCAAAUCCAGAACCAGGCAGGAAGCCCCAUCCUCCAGCUCAUGGUAAAGUCUAAGAGGAAGAAGCCACAAGGGAAUCAAGAAGAUUCUGGACUGUUACCUGGUGGCAGUGCCAAACCCUUGUCCAGCCCCAAGGGGCACCUAUCCAAUGCUGCUUCUCCAGCACCCCCUGACAACUGCUGGUUCAAGUCUCAGCUACCCAGUACCACCACCACCAAAUCCCUGGCCCAAAUCCCUGGUGCCCCUGCUGUGCAGAGCAUGCUGAGUCAGCACCUCCAACCUAAUGCCCAUUUGCCAGGCUGGCUCAUGAACUCACCCCAGCCAGCUGGCAGCCGCUUAGGCCUGCACAUGGGCAAGGAUACCCAAGGGCCUGGCCCUCAGCUGGACAGUGCUUCCUCAGGCUUUGAAGUGAACAAGGAAACCCCAGUAGGUAGGACCCAGCUGGACAGCCCUCCCCAGAAUCCAUGGGCACACAAGGAGUCCCCAGGGCCUGGUGCACUGUUAGUCAGUGCACCCUCAGUCCUGAGAAUGAAUAAAGGGACACAGUGGUCCAGCACCCAGCUUGAUACCAUUCCUUCAGGCCCAAAGACUGGAAAGGAAACUCAGGGGCCAACCACUCAGCUGUAUCGUGCCCCUUGGGGCCCUUGGGUAAAGGACGAAACCCAGGAACAAAGGGCCCAACUGGAUACCACCCCAUUGGGCCUAUGGCCAGUGGAAGAGACCAAGGUGCUUAGGACCCAGCCAGCCAGAGCAGACGUGCCUAGAGCCAGCCCAGGCUGUACCCCAUCCACCCAGCCCCCCGAAGACCUGGCAGACCUGAAGCAGAAUGUGGCCACCAUCCUGGCCCAGCAUCCCCAGGGCAUAUCUGUCUUCCAGUUCCGGGCAGCCUACAGUGCCACUUACCAUCACCCGCUGCCCUUGGGUCCCGCGGCCUCAGCCAAGCAGCGGCUGGCAGAAAUGCCUGAUGUGGUGAGGAUCCAAGGAUAUGGAGUCCAGACACUGCUGCUGCCUGUCUCUAACAGCAACCCCACAGGCGAUGAUCCUGGUUGCACCCUCUUGAUCGCAGAAGAACCUGCUGAUCCUGUUGGAGACCCUGACAGACUGGCUGAGCCCCCACCUGUCCUGGCCCCACAACCCUCAGCAGGCCCACGGGGGCCUGAGUCUCCACCUGCCCCCAGGGCCCUGCCACCCACUCAGGCUGUGAAGCCCAAAGCUGCCCUCAAGGAGCCUGAUCUGAUGCCCAGUGCUCCUGUGAUUACCACGGAGAUGGAGCCCAGCAGCAGCUCAUGGACCCCAGUCCAGCCUGAACUUCUCCCUGUCGUGGAUGAUGCCAGCUCAGCUUCUCAUCCAGUUGUGUACCCUCCACUCCAGCAGAUCCCAUUACCUGAUCCCAGCCCACUGCCUUCAUCCCUGCAGCCAGCCAAAGAUGUGGGAGCACAGAUCCCUCAAGCCCAGGCCAAGCCAGUCCAGCCUGUGUCUCCCACCCAAGGCCUCCCCCAUCCGUCUCCCAGGGCAGGUCCAGUCUCUAGAGUCUCAGAGUGGUACCAGGACCCUGUGGGCUUCCUUUUGGAUCCCAGCCCUGAUGUUUGGCCUUCCACUGAGGACAUUACCACCCCACUGACUAUUGCAGCCCCAAGAGCGGAGGUCAGCCCCCUCCCUACACCAUACGCCGACACCUUGAGAGCCCUGACGUCAUACGUACGCCCCAGGGAAAUCUGGCUGGAGAACAGGCUGCCUGGCCUGGCAGCGGUAAACAAUUCUUCAGAAGACUUUCUGGACCCCGCUGCACCCACUGCUUCUCCUCAGCCCUCCCCCACACUCAGCAAUGCUGAGAAUGACACACACAAGACACGCUGUUCCAUCAUAGGAUGGGAUAUGCCUGAGGUUUUCCCAUGUCCCUCUUGGACAGACACAGAGGCCCCGCAACAGCCAUCUCAGCCACACAGCUCUGACCGCUGCAUCAUUCUCUAGUGCUGCUAUCACCCAGCAGCAAACCAGAGCCAUCAAUAUACAUGGAGCUCUGAAGUAGAGCACACCUGGUCAUGUAACAACACUCAGGGAUACGGUUUUGCUGUCUGGACAGUAAAGGACUUGAUGAAAGACGUUUCUGUUAUAUGCAACGCUUCCAGAGAUGGGGACGUCUUCUGCUCCAGCAUCUCAAAGAUUGGAUAUAUGCCUGACCCCCUAAGGGACGUAUGUGUAUCCUCACCCUGGAGAAGUUCCUUUGUGUGAUACUAUGAAGAUCCUUCAAGAGAGCUGGAAACUUUGGGCCUGGAACUUUUAAGAAACGGCUACUAAUUUUUAUUUUAUGUGGGAUGGGAGCUAGUGGGAAAGAGCAGGGUGUUCUCCAAUUCAGAACCCACCUGAAAAUGGGAAUUAUGUGGCCUUUAUCCAGUCACUAAAAGUUGGUACCCAAGGGCUGAAAACAGCCAUCUGCAGAAGUGGUUUUUCAUCUUCAUUUCUUUAAAUGAAAUCCUACUACAGUAGGAUAUUUUUUACUAUAUAGGUUUGAUUUGGAUCAAUAAUUCUAUGUGCAUCUUCACUACCUGGCUCUUCACAGAAGUGAUUUGGGAAUGCUUUAGGAGGCAGAUCAUGGACUGAGACCCCCAAAUUGCAAGGUGUUAUACAGGCAGAGCAGAAACACAGUCUCUUCCUCAAAGGGUUUAUAGUCUGAAUGAAAGACCAGGCCCAGCAGAAGGCUAUAAGUCACCCCUAGGAUACAAGGACACUGCAGGGAUUUCUGUGACAAAUAAGCCCGGUUAAAUGGAGCUGAUGGGAACACUUUGAUAAAAAGUCUUCUGUGGUAAAUGAAAGAUAUUUUUAAGCGCCUAGAAAGGUCUCUGUCAACUUUGAAAUUCAAUAAGGGAAAAGGUGAAACAAAUUGUUCAAACCUUUGCUCAUGCUGGCACUGAUGAAAGGGAUUUUGUAUUUGUUUGGCCUUAAACAAUAAAAUAUUAACAAUGGAUAUUUCA